rnacentral:rRNA from 1 species
AGUGAACGCUGGCGGUAGGCCUAACACAUGCAAGUCGAACGGCAGCACAGUAAGAGCUUGCUCUUACGGGUGGCGAGUGGCGGACGGGUGAGGAAUACAUCGGAAUCUACUUUUUCGUGGGGGAUAACGUAGGGAAACUUACGCUAAUACCGCAUACGACCUACGGGUGAAAGCAGGGGAUCUUCGGACCUUGCGCGAUUGAAUGAGCCGAUGUCGGAUUAGCUAGUUGGCGGGGUAAAGGCCCACCAAGGCGACGAUCCGUAGCUGGUCUGAGAGGAUGAUCAGCCACACUGGAACUGAGACACGGUCCAGACUCCUACGGGAGGCAGCAGUGGGGAAUAUUGGACAAUGGGCGCAAGCCUGAUCCAGCCAUACCGCGUGGGUGAAGAAGGCCUUCGGGUGGUAAAGCCCUUUUGUUGGGAAAGAAAGCAGCAGGUUAAUACCCCGCUGUUCUGACGGUACCCAAAGAAUAAGCACCGGCUAACUUCGUG